UUUUAAGACGCAACCCGGUUCAACUUCUCGGGUUUGAAUGGAGCUGUUUGUGUGUAGUGGUAUGGAAGCUAUGGAACCGUGUAGCGUAUCUUAAUACAACGAAUGGAUUAUGAUUUAUCACAUUUUCUACUGAUCAUGGCAGCAGCGGCGGCAUCAAAUACCAAUACAUGUUUAAAAAGAAAUACGGGCGGCGGCGGGAAUCGAACCGAGACACUAUCAUGGUGAUACAC